ACAGCCUCGCCUGAUUUAACCCGGGCAGGUCCCUCCCUCGCGGCCGGGGAUCCCUGCAAGGGGGAAGCAGGGGCUCUGUCCAGAGGGACUCCGGCCAGGGGCCGCGUGUACACUCCCGCCGUCCCCCCUCCUCCGCGCCCGCCCCGCUGAGGCUCCAGCAGAGGCCCAGCUGCGAGGGCUAAGAGCUGUUUCUUGACGCAGAUGAAAAGCACAGCUUCAGCUCCCUCAUGCUCCCAGCGAAAGACGCUGCUGCCUAGCUGGGUGCCCUCCCUCCCAUCAGGGCCCACCUGGCAGCAGUGGGUCAAGGGGGCGGCCUGUGGCCCAGCAGGCAGGACCAGAAGGCCUGGCCUGGGGUCACCAAGCCCUUCCCACAACACCCCCAACUCCACGGAAACCCAGAGCCACUCGGGCCAGUGUUUCAGGCUGUGAGUGGCAGGUGUCAGCUGUUGCGCCAUCGUUAGCUGGUGGCUGGCGCUGCCGGCCCUGCCUAUGGCUGUAGGUUAUUGUCGGGCUGGUAGAACCCACAGGAGCCCAGAGCCCCUGCCCCAGGGAUGCCCCAGCUGGAGGAGGCGCCUCUGAUAUGCCUGAAAGCCACACCGAGUCACCUGUGCAUGCAGGCGGACGCUCGGAGACCCCGGGGGACUGCGUGGAAGGGAGAUCUGUCCCUCAGCCCCUCUCGGCCGUGGGGUCCGCCCACCCUAACUGUGGUCACAAGGUUUCAGUGAUGUGGACAGUGGCUGUGAUGGGAGGUGCUGGCUGUACCUGAGACACUGCGCCCACGACACCAUCAGGUUUGCCAGCGGGUCCUGGGACUGGUCUGUCGGGUUUGGGGCAAGUCCCGCGCUCUCCCGCAGCCUCAGCUGGUGCACGUGCAAGGUGGGGGAAGAGCCCCUCCAAGCCAGCAGCUCCGAGGCCCUUUCCCCUCCCAGCCCAGGCCCUGGCCGCUGGCCAGCGCGGAGGGGUCCCUGCCAGCCACUCCUCUUGUGGGCAGGUGGCAGAUAACGUUUCAGGUUUCCCUGGAAACUGGAAGGCAGGAUGCAGACGAGUCUGGGGUUUGGUAACCGCGCCUCUCCCGGAAUAACCAGAGAAGCCCAGGGCAACGGUAACCUAACUCUAGUCCUUGGGGGGCCGGGCCCUCUCCUCGGUCCAGGACCAGGGCCUCCCGGGAGAGAGGAGACCGAGGAGGCACGACUGGAGGGCCCCUCCCUGGGCCUCGGCUCUCACCUGUGCGAUGCUGACGCCGCCUCGGCCUCGACAGGAAGGAGGGAACCCGGAGCAGCGUCUGCAAAGGGCGGAAAGAAACAGCCCCCAGACUCCCAGCGUUUCUUUCUUGGGAACAUUGACAGGGAGGUCACAGGCACGCGGAGAUGCCAACAGCAGCUCAGUCACGUGACCUUGCACAAACAGAACUAAGCUGUAGCGGCUCACGGGCCGGGUGAAGCCCUGGCACAAAGGGCACUCAGUGAGGGGCUGGCACCCGGACAGGCAGCCAGGCCAAGGAGGAGAGCCCAGAGCGGGAAGGAGAGCCCAAUCAGGGAAGGCUUCCAGGGGGCGAUGGCCCCGGGAUGGGCCUAAAGGACGGGCAGGAGGCUGGGCUGGGCUGGGGGUUGGGGUUGCUCUGGGGUGUCCCUUGGCCCAUGGAAUUCUUUUCCCCAGAUACUCUCUGCUCCCUGGGCCUUGGCUUCAAGGUCCCCUCCCCUCCCCUCAGGCCAGAUCAUCUGGGCUGGUUCACUUUGGCUGCUGGAGGCAGGACUGUGUUGUGCUGGCUGUGCCCCAGGAGUCCAGCCCAGGGCCUGGUAUGUCCUGGCAGCUCCAGAAAUAUUUGUCCAGUUGAUGCUUGACCAGCAGGCUGGCAGAGCAGCUGAGACCCCAUCCUCUAGGCCGGCUUUACUGACUUGGGAGCCGGGCCCUUCGGCUAAAAAUAUGUAAGGUUUUGCCUUGGAGGCUCCUGGGCCCAGUCUCAGCACUACUGCCUAAACACUCUGUGACUGUGGUCAAGCCAGACUCUUCUCUGAGCCUUGGUUUCCCUUGUGUUUCAGGGAGCCGCCUGCUCCCCACCCUUGAUCAGAGCCGGGCAUACAGCAGGUGCUCAGCAGGGGCAGAAAACACCAUUACUGCACUCAAGUCCAUGUGGAAAGGAUCGGGCGGCUCUGAGUCUCAGAGACAGAGGCAGGGCCGCGGCCGCCAGCUGCAGGGGGAUACGGGGCAUCUGGAGGCCUCCAGCUGACCGGCACUGCCCGUGCGACCCUUCUUUGAUGCUUGUUUGGACUCAGGUCUUGUGACCAGGGAGACACCACAGGCUGCCUGGACUGCCCCCUGCUCCACCCGGAGGCCACCAGCUGCAUCAACAUUUCCUUCUGUUUGUAAACAAACUGUCUGCUGGUGGUUUGCUCCUUGCCCCACUGACAAGGUAGGGCAAGCUCAGGCAGCCUGGGAGCAUCGGCAGCAGAUUGAGAGGGCCUUGGGCGGUUGCCUGGGGGCCCAGGCCCUGAGCAGAAUGUCCGUGAGCUGCCUAGGGGGAUUCACAGAGGCAUAGUGAGCCAUGGAGAGACGCCUCCUCCAGGAAGAGGGCAGUGGUUCAGGGACAGGAUGGGUCCUAUAGGUAAACUCCCCUAGGUUUGCACUACUCAAGGGGGAGGAUAAAGCUGACACUUGAGGCACAGUCAUAGAAGCUACCACUUCUCUUUCUUUUCUUCUCUAUUUUCUUUUGGCUGCACCUGUGGCAUGUGGAAGUUCCUGAGCCAGGGAUUGAACCCAUGUCACAGCAGCGCCCCAAGCUACAGCAAUGACAGUGUUGGAUUCUUAGCCCACUUCACCAUAAGGGAACUCCAGAAACUUCCUUUUUUGGAGAGCAUCACAUCUCUCAAUGCUCAUGACAGCACUGCAAAUGGGACGAUUUCUUCCAUUGUAUAGAUGAAGAAACUGAGACCAAGAGAGGAGAAUCGAUCUGCCCAUGUUAAAUGGGAGCUUCAGGCUCUGAACUCCAGGGAGAGACUGUUCUUUCUUGAUUCCCUGUGUGUGGAAUGGUCUUGCUGCAUAACAGGUGCUCAAUAAAUAUUUGUGGAAUGAGUG
rnacentral:lncRNA from 1 species